CGUGAUCGGAAUGGUUUGGAACAGGUACAAUAAGCGUGGUAGCAGGUUCAUGUUCACGGCAUUGAUUCGUCUGAACCAUGAUACAUACAUGCGUCCCCACCUCAGGAGGUCUUUGCGUAGCGUUUGAAACAUGGGGAGGAAAUUUUCCCUAUAUAACAUGAGGGUUCUUUGGUUAGCCAGAUAGCAAGGUACGUUAUACUGUGUGAGCACCAAUUGAAGGUGAAGUUCGCUGUUAGCCUAUCC